GACGAACGCUGGCGGCGCGCCUAACACAUGCAAGUCGAACGAGCGAGAGAGAGCUUGCUUUCUCAAGCGAGUGGCGAACGGGUGAGUAACGCGUGAGGAACCUGCCUCAAAGAGGGGGACAACAGUUGGAAACGACUGCUAAUACCGCAUAAGCCCGCGACCCGGCAUCGGGUAGAGGGAAAAGGAGCAAUCCGCUUUGAGAUGGCCUCGCGUCCGAUUAGCUAGUUGGUGAGGUAACGGCCCACCAAGGCGACGAUCGGUAGCCGGACUGAGAGGUUGAACGGCCACAUUGGGACUGAGACACGGCCCAGACUCCUACGGGAGGCAGCAGUGGGGAAUAUUGCACAAUGGGGGAAACCCUGAUGCAGCGACGCCGCGUGGAGGAAGAAGGUCUUCGGAUUGUAAACUCCUGUUGUUGAGGAAGAUAAUGACGGUACUCAACAAGGAAGUGACGGCUAACUACGUGCCAGCAGCCGCGGUAAAACGUAGGUCACAAGCGUUGUCCGGAAUUACUGGGUGUAAAGGGAGCGCAGGCGGGAAGACAAGUUGGAAGUGAAAUCCAUGGGCUCAACCCAUGAACUGCUUUCAAAACUGUUUUUCUUGAGUAGUGCAGAGGUAGGCGGAAUUCCCGGUGUAGCGGUGGAAUGCGUAGAUAUCGGGAGGAACACCAGUGGCGAAGGCGGCCUACUGGGCACCAACUGACGCUGAGGCUCGAAAGUGUGGGUAGCAAACAGGAUUAGAUACCCUGGUAGUCCACACUGUAAACGAUGAUUACUAGGUGUUGGAGGAUUGACCCCUUCAGUGCCGCAGUUAACACAAUAAGUAAUCCACCUGGGGAGUACGACCGCAAGGUUGAAACUCAAAGGAAUUGACGGGGGCCCGCACAAGCAGUGGAGUAUGUGGUUUAAUUCGACGCAACGCGAAGAACCUUACCAAGUCUUGACAUCCUGCGACGGUACUGGAAACAGUACUUUCCUUCGGGACGCAGAGACAGGUGGUGCAUGGUUGUCGUCAGCUCGUGUCGUGAGAUGUUGGGUUAAGUCCCGCAACGAGCGCAACCCUUAUGGUCAGUUACUACGCAAGAGGACUCUGGCCAGACUGCCGUUGACAAAACGGAGGAAGGUGGGGAUGACGUCAAAUCAUCAUGCCCUUUAUGACUUGGGCUACACACGUACUACAAUGGCGUUAAACAAAGAGAAGCAAGACCGCGAGGUGGAGCAAAACUCAGAAACAACGUCCCAGUUCGGACUGCAGGCUGCAACUCGCCUGCACGAAGUCGGAAUUGCUAGUAAUCGCAGAUCAGCACGCUGCGGUGAAUACGUUCCCGGGCCUU
rnacentral:rRNA from 1 species